AUGGUUAAGAACAUCACUAAUUUGUGUCACCGUGAAACACCUCGUCCCAACCCUAUCUCUUUCAUCUUCACAUUGAAUCAUUGUUGGACCAACUCAGAGGCUUCAAUUAAGAUCCGACUCAGGAGACGACAAUGUCAUGAGGAAGAAGCGAAUGCGAGACACAAGAUUGAUGCGGUGUUGAUUGAUGAAUUUUCAGGUUGGAGAAUCGUUGAUGAUGAAAUGAUAACAUGCGGAAUAUAA